rnacentral:lncRNA from 1 species
UUCUCAUCAAAUUAGAGUACUUUUGUUUUCUGAAAAUAUAGUUGCAAUUUUCUGUGAUUUUGGUUAUACCUGAUUUGACAUCAUUUCUUACUUAAGAUAAAAUCCAAGUAUUUUAGCAAAUUUUUUCUACCAAAAAAAUUGAAGCUUUCUUUAUAGAAUUUUCAAAACUGUUUCCUGAAAGUAGAAAGUCAGUAAUUUUCUUUUACUGGACUACAUUUGGUGUAUCCCCAACAAUUGAAAUCAGCAUUUUAAGCCAUUUUAAUACUCCGCUAGGAAGUAUCAAGGCCUGCAAAAAUGCUGCUUUGAAGUGCGAUGAAUUGAAAUUUGAACAGUACAAAUUGCUGGUUGGAGACCGCCUUACACCUGAUUGCCAGCUACGCAUGCAAAACUACCUUGAGAAGAUCAAACUCUUGGAGCAUUGAUGGUGGUCGAUAUUUUUCUAUUUGGUGUAGAUGAUUGAUAAGCCCAGCAUAUGAAGGUUUGUACUUUAUUCUUGAAACUAGUGCAUUCCCUGUUGUUUAACUGAUUUGUUGUCUAUGCUAUUUCUUAUCCUGUUGUUGCAUAUAUACUUUUGAGUUUGUUCACUUUCUCUCUUACAUUUUGCAUUGCAUAUAGUAGACGAUGAUAGGAUCAACUGGACACCAGUAGAGAACAAAAAGAAGCUAAAUUUUUUGUUCAUUGAACGCUCAAGUCCUGUUAAGUACAUUGUCCCAAACAUGAAGUUAGUACACUUUUCUUUUUCUUUUUCCCGUUUCGCUUACUGUUUUGUCAGUAAUGAUACAAUGUUUUAUUGGGUGUGGAGAUUGAGUGAGUUUGUGACUCUCGUGAAUGCUAUAUUAUUUGAUGAAAUGUGAUUGGAAAUUUGAAUAAAGCUAUGUGUACAAGGAUGUUUACAUUCUCCUUGACAUUCUUCCUAUGUGUCGAAAUCUGGAACGUGAUAGAAUGUUGUAGAAAUCAAUGGCUUUACGGAUGCCACGUGGACAAGUGUCAAACUUAAUGUAUAAGAGGAUGUACAUGUAUCAUGAUUGUGAUAAUUUAUGGUUCACCACCUCCAUGCAAUCUCUUUCAUAAGCUUUGAUGAAUUAAUUUGAAUUCUAAAAAUCAAAUGACUUUAUUUGUAUAUGUAUGGUUCUAAAUGGCAGAGAAAUUGAAAGAAGUUUCUGCUAGUACACAAUUUGAAUAUUUUUGGUCUGCACUAUUUUACAAAAUGGACAGGUUUAAAAAGGAAAAAUAAUGAGUAAAAAUUGUCUGUUUUACUGGCCAUUUUGUCGAAUACAUUUGUUAUUGUCAUUGGCUGCCUUUCCACGCAUGAAUCAAACAAAUAACAUCUUCCUUGGUGAUUAACUGUCUAUAUGAUCUGUAUUUUACCUGUCCUUUGCAGCUGAGGUUUAUGUCUGUUUUGACUCAUCCGUCUUUGCCAGGAGUUAUCAACCGAAUAUGGCCAUAUCUAUUGCAACUUGUAAUUAAGAAUGCAGGGGAUAAAGGAAUGGAUGCACAAGUUGAAAAUUUGUGUGAUAUCAAAGGCAUCGACUCCACUGUGAAACUUCAGCGGCACGAUUACUUUCUGGACCUAACAUAUUAAGAAGUACUAAACUUGGCGUGGAAAGACUUGGUACUUGGAGUGAUCCUAAUAUAGCUAGCAAUUAACACACAAUUGGGAACAACAUUUCAGCUACCAUUAUUAUAGCACAUUUGAUCCUGUUUAAAAGGAUUAUUUUAGAUGUUCUUUCAUGCAGUCAGUGGAUGCGUUUAGCUCAAGAAAAGCUGAACAAAAAUAUUUUAUGUUCAAACAUGGUAUGUAUAUGGACAUCCAAAUAUUCAAUAGAACUUGAAACCUUAUUGUACCUUUUGACUCGUUGACAUAUGCCUGCGACUGGUGGAUCAUGUAGUGCGGAACCUUUUAUUCAACCUUAUGGUUUGAGUCUUAAAGAAACCUUUGGUUUAAAUGAGUGCUACACAAAGUGAAUUCACGAGGCUGAAGAGUUGUAUAGUAUGUACAUUUUAACUUCACUAUUUCAGUGGGUUAAGUGAUCUUAUUUUCAACUUCUUUAUACCAUCAAAAGCAGUCGUGUGAUGACUGGCGGCAGCAACCAUUCAACCAGGCUUAUUUUGCAGACAAAAGCGAGUUUUGUUUUUCCACAAGUUUUUCUAUACAUUGGUUUGCUUCGUUUAAUGUACAAUCAACAGCCAUGCAAUUAUACUCAUCAAUGUGCCUUGGAAAAUGCAGUUGUGCUACAACACCUGCAUCAAUGACCGCGAGGUUGACACACUACACACAUAUGGGGGGUUGGGAUUAUUUUAUUCAUAAGGUGUCCACGUCGACCAUGUGAAAGUGCGGUCACCAGGAGUGUCAAUGACGCGGAUCAUUUGGCUUUUUCCUAAAGCCUAUCACAUGGGGGGGCUAGCUCGGCCUCCUGAAUAUAGGGCCCCUGUAUAUGAAGCAAGGGGCCAUGUGCCUUUCAAGAAAAC